GUUAAAUGGCCAGCAGGAAUUAUCCACUAGAGAAGCGGAAGGGAGAGAAUGGAAAUGGCCGCAUGCAGCUCCUCUCCCUCAGACAGCUCGGGGCUCAGCGGAAUGAGCACAGUCUGCAGGACAAGUGCGGAGGACUUCAGUCCCCUCUACUGUAUAUUGGCUUUAGGACUCAAGUUGUCCCUGAAAUAGAGGAAGGUGUUUUCUAGGGUAGUGGUAAUUAUCACAGUCAAAAAAGUAGGCGAGAGCACUUAGGAAAACUGUGCGGAGAUCGGCUGCUGAUGUGUAAAUACUGCUGAAGCUGCUUAUUCAAGGUAAUCUGA